rnacentral:rRNA from 1 species
AUGCCGAGAGAUUUGGCAGUGCUCGCAAGAGAACCGGAACACAGGUGCUGCAUGGCUGUCGUCAGCUCGUGUCGUGAGAUGUUGGGUUAAGUCCCGCAACGAGCGCAACCCUUGUCAUUAGUUGCUACGAAAGGGCACUCUAAUGAGACUGCCGGUGACAAACCGGAGGAAGGUGGGGAUGACGUCAAGUCCUCAUGGCCCUUAUGGGUAGGGCUUCACACGUCAUACAAUGGUCGGGACAGAGGGUCGCCAACCCGCGAGGGGGAGCCAAUCCCAGAAACCCGAUCGUAGUCCGGAUCGCAGUCUGCAACUCGACUGCGUGAAGUCGGAAUCGCUAGUAAUCGCGGAUCAGCAUGUCGCGGUGAAUACGUUCCCGGGUCUUGUACACACCG